rnacentral:misc_RNA from 1 species
UCCGGCUUUCACCGGCUGUCUCCUUAGAGUGCCCACCAUUACGUGCUGGCAACUAAUGAUAAGGGUUGCGCUCGUUGCGGGACUGAACCCAACAUCUCACGACACGAGCUGACGACAACCAUGCACCACCUGUCUCCAUUGUCCCGAAGGAAAGUCUCAUCUCUGAAACGGUCAAUGGGAUGUCAAGCCCUGGUAAGGUUCUUCGCGUUGCUUCGAAUUAAACCACAUGCUCCACCGCUUGUGCGGGCCCCCGUCAAUUCCUUUGAGUUUCAGCCUUGCGGCCGUACUCCCCAGGCGGAGUGCUUAUUGGGUUACCUUCGGCACAGAGGGCAUGAUACCCCCAACACCUAGCACUCAUCGUUUACGGCGUGGACUAC